rnacentral:lncRNA from 1 species
AUGCGGUACAUCGCCUCCUAAUUGCUGGCUGCCCUCGGGGGUAACCCCUCCCCCAGCAACAAGGACAUCAAGAAGAUCCUGGACAGCGUGGGCAUCGAGACGGACAAUGACCGGCUCAACAAGGUUAUUAGUGAGCUGAAUGGAAAAAACAUUGAAGACGUCAUUGCCAAGAGUAUUAGCAAGCUUGCCAAUGUACCUGCUGGUGGGGCUGUGGCCGUCUCUGCUGCCCCAGGCUCUGCAGCCCCUGCAGCUGGUUCCACCCCCUGCUGCAGCAGAGGAGAAGAAAGAUGAGAAAGAGGAGUCUGA